rnacentral:ncRNA from 1 species
UUUAUGAAAUGACUUGAGCUGUAUCGGAUAAGUGGGAGUCCAAAGGCGAAGGUGAAAUACUACUACUUUUAACGUUAAUUUACUUAUUCCGUGAAUCGGAAGCGGGGCAUUGCCCCUCUUUUUGGACCCAAUCAGCAAACCAUAUAGAUGCACGGUGUAAACCUACAUUCUAGUAAUAGUUUGCAAACCAUACGAGAGUCGUA